UAGUUUCUUUGUACUUUUAAAUGGAUCAUCAAAUUUUUAUCAAAUAAAAAAACUCUCUCUUCAAAACUGUGUCGAAAAUUUCUUUGUCUCUUGAGAGUGAUUCAUUGCACACAACAGCAUCUUUAUCAUCUCUCAUCUAUUUCUUAUGAUUGGUCUGCUGCUGAGACAACACCUUCGCCGAUCUAUUCUCUACAAGACCAAAAGACUAUUCUGCAACUUUUGUGUUCUAUCUCUUCAAACCAGCUUCUUUGUGCAAAUCAUUGGGAAGAUCAUAUCAAAUGGAGCAUAAUGACUGAAACGGAGGAAACAAAGGAAACAACAACAGGGAAGACAUACUGAUGAUGGAAGCUAUUUAUAUUGAGUAAUUACAAAGACAUAAAUAGUAACAUUUCGGAUCUUGUUCUAACUCUACUUGACCAUUAGGGGUAAAACCGAACCAUCCUUUGAGCUUUGGAUUAUUGAAAAGAAACAAAGCAUACGAAUCUAUAUUCAGCCGCAUCGCACAUCCCAUGUCAACCGAUGCAAGAAUCCUAAUCUCUCCUGAUAAGCCACUGGAUGCUUCGGACCAUGAUGCCAUUUUCUGUAACAAACAUCUUCAAACGAACACUCUAUACCUAUUGAGACCCGCAAUGUGAACACACUAGCCCUCGGGUUCAUGUAAGUUACUGCACUAAACAUGAACCUCUUCUCUCUCUCAUCUCCAUUGUAAAGGUUUGGGUCCAAGUACACAAACUGGCAACUUUCAUCGCUUCUGGAUAUUUUGAGCCACAUACAGGUAUCUCUCGGCACAUUAAGUAGCAUGAUCUCGCACGGUAUAGCCACUGGUAGCCCAGCCACAAAGGAAAUCGGACUGUAAGGACCAUUACCAGGAACCUCGAGCUCUGCACUGACACACUGCAAAUUACCAGAUAAAAUAAACUGUUCGGGAGAGAAACAAUUGUAUUUCUUGACGAGAUCAAACAGUC